AGAAAAAGAAAUUGAAAAAGAAGGAUAGAAGAAUGAAAGAAAGGGUAAAAAAAAAAAAGAAGAAAAAAAGGCCAAAACGCCCUCUCUCCUCACAAAGG
rnacentral:rRNA from 14 species